GGAAGAGCAGCACCCGGCAGCACAGGAAGCUGAGCAGCAUCAGGGCCCCGUUGACUUUGUGCAGCAGAGUGUGCUGCUGCUUGUACUGUGGACGGAAAGCCUGGUCGGAACUGGCAGACAGUGUGCCCCUGUCCACACUCCACUGCCCCAUCCGCCCCUCUGCCUCCUGCCCCAUCCAUCCCUCUGCCUCUUGUCCUCUGCCCACGUCCUGCUGCCCACCUACCCCUCUGCUUCCUGCCCCUUGCCCACAUCCUACUGCCUCAUCCACCCCCUGCCCACACCCCACUUCCCCACCUACUCCUCUGCCCAGCUACCACCCUCUGCCCACCUCCGUGCCUUCCCCUCUUCUGGGGCAUCGGCCAGGUUAAAGGCCCCAGACCAUCCUGCUCCUGCCUCCCUUCUACCCAGCCGAUAGCUCCUCUAAGGCCUGAAAUGUCACCCGUCCUUUAGAGAAUCCCUGAAGGUCCCUGAAAACUGCCAAUUCACUUGGCAAGACUCAUCCCUUGCCAUUCCUGUGCCCUCUUUUCAGGCCCAUAUGCCCUCAGGUACCCUCUCACCUGGAUGAGGAUCUUGCCAAGGCAGACGAAGGGGGUGCUGACCUCUGCCAUCAACAAGCAGCCUAGAAAGAAAUCCCCCUUGCCUUGACGCCACACCUGAAGAGAGGAAGGGAGGUGAAGGGGCCAGGCCUCAUCCUAGGUUCCUGGGAAGCCCCUGCCCUUCCUCAGUCCCCUCUGCCACUUUUGGGGAUGCUUAACUUGGACAGGUCUGAGCACACGUGUACAGCUGCAUGAGCUGGGUGCAUCCCCUCACUGCAUCCCUCAACAAGCCUGUAGGUAAGAUAUUAGACCUUAUUACAGGUCAGGAAACUGAGACUCAGACACACACAACAGCUCCCAAACACCUCGCUGGGCAUAGAAGCCCAGGCCAGGCUGACUCCAGACCCUCUUGCUGACUGGGGCUAGGCUAGUGCUCAGUAAACACCGCCGUGAAUGACACUCUCUGGUCCUGUCCUGGGCUCCACCCUGCUGCCAGGACCUGGGCCCAGGGCUUCUGGGGCUCUUACAGGGCUGGCUCGGGCAAAGCACAGAGGAGUGGGCUCUGCCCAGGGUGCCUGGCCCUGCAAGGACUCACCACUGAGAGCGGGAAGCACACCAGCACCAUGACGGCAUGGUGGAGCACCAUGAGGAACUCUUUAUGCAGGCAGGAGAUGCCAACAUAGUCUCAAGUGUCCACCUGAUCCAAGAAGCUCAUUCCUCACCAGCAUCCCUCUCCAACCCAUUGUCCAGUCCAAUCCAUGUCUGAAGAGUUGGCUUCAGGAAUGGUUCCUGUCCUGUUGCCAACAGAAGAUCCAUUCUUUCCCUCUCUCCUCGCACCAUGGUGGGAGAGAAAGGGAAGAGCCACAGACCACAUGGGCUGAGAAAAUGAGCUCAGUUGAGGCCACGGAGAGAGCUACGGUUGGGACCAUAGUAGCAGAAGAGGUACAGACAAGCACCAAGGGGAAACGCUGCGCAAAAGGAGCCAAGAAUGGAGAAAGUAUCAUGCACGUUGAGAGUAAACAAAAAGUAAGAACUACAUGAAUAUGCAACAUUGCAUUUAUUCUGCCCAAGUCAGCACGUUGAGUGCUUUCUCUUGCAUCCUGUGAUCCUGUGACAAGUCAGGAGUGGGGGUGCUCAGAA